rfam:Aedes aegypti strain Liverpool supercont1.513 genomic scaffold, whole genome shotgun sequence.
CCUCUCAUGGCGUAGUGGUAACGCGCCCCAACUAGAGAUCGGGGAGUCGUGAGUUCGAUUCUCACUGAAAAGA